CCACUUCGGUGGGGAUUAGUGGCGAACGGGUGAGUAACACGUGGGCAAUCUGCCCUUCACUCUGGGACAAGCCCUGGAAACGGGGUCUAAUACCGGAUACCACUACCGCAGGCAUCUGUGGUGGUUGAAAGCUCCGGCGGUGAAGGAUGAGCCCGCGGCCUAUCAGCUUGUUGGUGAGGUAAUGGCUCACCAAGGCGACGACGGGUAGCCGGCCUGAGAGGGCGACCGGCCACACUGGGACUGAGACACGGCCCAGACUCCUACGGGAGGCAGCAGUGGGGAAUAUUGCACAAUGGGCGAAAGCCUGAUGCAGCGACGCCGCGUGAGGGAUGACGGCCUUCGGGUUGUAAACCUCUUUCAGCAGGGAAGAAGCGAAAGUGACGGUACCUGCAGAAGAAGCGCCGGCUAACUACGUGCCAGCAGCCGCGGUAAUACGUAGGGCGCAAGCGUUGUCCGGAAUUAUUGGGCGUAAAGAGCUCGUAGGCGGCUUGUCACGUCGGGUGUGAAAGCCCGGGGCUUAACCCCGGGUCUGCAUUCGAUACGGGCUAGCUAGAGUGUG
rnacentral:rRNA from 1 species